rnacentral:rRNA from 1 species
CGAAUGCUGACAUAAGUAACGAUAAAGCGGGUGAAAAGCCCGCUCGCCGGAAGACCAAGGGUUCCUGUCCAACGUUAAUCGGGGCAGGGUGAGUCGACCCCUAAGGCGAGGCCGAAAGGCGUAGUCGAUGGGAAACAGGUUAAUAUUCCUGUACUUGGUGUUACUGCGAAGGGGGGACGGAGAAGGCUAUGUUGGCCGGGCGACGGUUGUCCCGGUUUAAGCGUGUAGGCUGGUUUUCCAGGCAAAUCCGGAAAAUCAAGGCUGAGGCGUGAUGACGAGGCACUACGGUGCUGAAGCAACAAAUGCCCUGCUUCCAGGAAAAGCCUCUAAGCAUCAGGUAACAUCAAAUCGUACCCCAAACCGACACAGGUGGUCAGGUAGAGAAUACCAAGGCGCUUGAGAGAACUCGGGUGAAGGAACUAGGCAAAAUGGUGCCGUAACUUCGGGAGAAGGCACGCUGAUAUGUAGGUGAGGUCCCUCGCGGAUGGAGCUGAAAUCAGUCGAAGAUACCAGCUGGCUGCAACUGUUUAUUAAAAACACAGCACUGUGCAAACACGAAAGUGGACGUAUACGGUGUGACGCCUGCCCGGUGC